rnacentral:lncRNA from 1 species
AGAGUCGGAGAGAUACGUGGAGAUCAACAACUCAUCCGAUGUUGCUUCUUUAUCUCCAUCCAAAAUAAUAAAUCUGAAGACUCUUUACCUAUUGACAAAUUGGACCAAAGAAAAAAUCAAGAGAGGGGUGAACCAGCUGAACAACUGGUUUCCAUCCCAUUAAAAGAAGAAGAUCCUAAGAAAAUGAUUUGAAUUGGAUCACAAUUAUCUGACUC